AAGACCGCAUUUCUCUCAGGCGGUGCUCCGAAUUUGGUUUGUCAUGCGCCGAGAGCUCAGCUUUGAAACAAUUUCUCGAGUUCUUUGCCGUGGAGCUUUUCAAACAAGAGGCUAAAUAAAAUCUUUCGGAUACAGUUUUUUUUUUUGUAUAACAUGUUACGCCUUUGAGGUUUUUCUUUAGGACAUGAUGUAGCCUAGCUACUGCACAAAAGAGGACGUGUUGUGUGCCACUGUUCAGGGACUGACAUCUAGAUAGAACGGGCUCCUUGUGUAGGCUUUCUCCCGCAAUAUCAUCAGUAGCCUAUAGGCUACACGGAUCAUACUACAGACAUUUCCAGCUCUUCUACUAACUUACCGGACUCAUGAAAGAAUAGGCUAUAUCCUAAGCGGAGUUAAUUAUUAGGAAUCGCGUUAUUUUCCCUCGAUCCUCUGAGUAGAUUGAAAUCUGCAUGGUUCUCAGUACGCAAGUAUCAUAGCCUAUACAUUGGGGAAAGACUAUUGUGUGAGCAAUUUUAUCACUUACACUUUCAAUGGGAUGACUACUUGAAGGGUAUAAUCGUUUCACCAGUAUCAUCUUCUAAAACACGGGUGGGAUAUAUGGUUCUAGUCUCUGAGAUGUGAUUUACUGGAUUUGUAAGGCGCUUUGACAAGAGAAGAACCACUGACAGGGUAGGCUUUGAGGACCGUAAAACAGGACCGUAACAGGACUGCGGUGCAGCGGAGGGAACCGUUGCGUACGGAGCGCUCGCUUCAGGCCCACCAGGGAAGGCCUGACCCCUCCAUUGGGCGGAUCGGCAGCCAGGCGGAGGGGCCAUGUGGACUGCACGCCUGCUCCUCUUCGCCAGCCUGUUCGCGCCAGCAG